GCCGGCGCCGCUUCACCUGCCGGAGCGGGAGGCCACCGAGGCGAGGCCGAGGCGGCGGCGCGCUCGGCGGCGCCUCCGGGUCCUAGAACCGCAUCCUCCCGCUCGCCUCGGGCGAGGGAUUGGCCGGGUCUGGGUGAAGGGGAUCACGGCCUGGGGAUUGGAGGGGCACAUCUUCUCCGCACCGAGGAUCUCAGCGACUGCGAGCACGGCUCGGAGACCCACGGUGGUGCAGCGUUGGGGCGCCAGGGCUGCGUUCCCGUCUCGCGUCCCGGACUGAGAAGGUGGGAACCCCCUUCCAGGCCCCCCACCUUUUAUUUCUCUCCUCCCCUGCUUAGCCCAGAGACGAGCUGAGGACGAGGGGGAGCCAUCUCCAAACAGGAACUCCUAAACAGGGUGGGGGGCGCGGACGCAGGCCAGUGGAGACCCCCGCCACCUGUCCCACCUCGACCAACCGUGCGCCUGUGCAGGGCACCCCUACAGGUUUUAGAAUGGGGGCACCUAUGGAAUAUGGCAGGCUGCGAGAAGCUGGGCCCGCCAAGGUGGUCCCAAGGAGGAGUGGGGGGUUGCGGAAAGGAGGAUGAGAGCCAGCCACAAGGCUGGAAAAGGAGUGGGCACCGCAGAGGAGGGAAAAAGAAUCUUGACACUGUCACCGCCAGGGAUCUAGGGGGGCCUCUUACCUUGGAGAAUAACAAUCUCUGAUGUCUGCUAAUUACAGAAAUACUUUCAGAGCUCUUUCAUUCAUCCUGACAAUGGCCAGAGAAGGUAGGUAUUGGUAGCCUUAUUUUAGAGAUGGGGAAACUGAGGCUGAGAGUAGGUAAGUAAGCUGUCCAAGGGCACUCAGCUAACAAAGGACAGAAGCAAGCCUCCUCACUGUCUACCUCCAAAACCUACACUGGCUUGGAGUUGCUGUCCUGGCCCUCCACUGCCCAUCUCAUGUAGGACGGGAGAGUAUGGGGGGCUGGGGUCCCAUCUAUAGCCUGAAUUUGAGACUUUCAGUUGCUCCUCUCAUUCCCCAUUUAAUUUGUGGGGAUCCCCAACUGACCCCUCCCUACACUUCCAGGGCACUGAGGAGGGAGGGCCCGCUGAAGGAGCCCCGAAUUAUCUCUAGGCCAGGUCAGGAGCCAUUAGUGUCCCCUCCCCUGACAGCAUCCUCCUCCUUCUGCCCUCACAUUCAGAGCCACUGACAAGACUUUAAGCAAGAGACGGAGAGUUAACAUCUAAUCUGGAGGAAGACCCUGGAAGGAGCCAGCCCCUUCCCCCAGGCUGACCUGGUUUAAGCCUUUCUUCUGCCAAGGUCACCAGCACCCCAGAUGGGUGAGAGAUGUGAUCACUGGUUUCGUGGCCUGACCAAGGACCUCCAAGGUGAGUCAAAGCAGAAUUCUCCUUGGGCAUGCAGGGAAAAUGAUCCAUUCCCUGCACACUGCCAUAUUCUCCUUCUCAGACAGACCAGAGCCUUGCCCUUGGGUCCUUGCCCUUGAGAUUAGCUAGGACCUCCUCCUCUUCUUCUCCUUCUUUCUUCUUCUUCUUGUCUCUAUAAGAUAACUGUCGUGGAAGACUUUUUUUUUUCUUUUAAGAUGGAGUCUCUCGCUGUUGCCCAGGCUGGAGUGCAGUGGCUCGGUCUCAGCUCACUGCAACCUCCACCUCCCAGGUCCAAGCAAUUAUCCAGUCUCAGCCUCCUCAGUAGCUGGGACCACAGGUGCGUGCCACCACACCCAGCUCAUUUUUGUAUUUUUAGUAGAGACGGGGUUUUGCUAUGUUGACCAAGCUGGUCUCGAACUCCUGACCUCAAGUGAUCCGCCUGCCUCGGCCUCCCAAAGUGCUGGGAUUACAGGCAUGAGGCACCCCGUCCAGCCUGGAAGACUUUUUUUUUUAAUGAAUAAAAACACAUUUUUUUAAAGAAUGGAUUCCCUGAUUCCUCAAUGGCUGUCUCUUUCAAUUGAACAAUAAACCUUUACUUAGCAUCAGCUACAUGCCCAUCACUGUGCUUGGUCCUGCAGAUUCUGUGGCAGAUGAGAAAUGCCUUGGUCCUUGGGCUGCUUGCAGCCUAGCGAGGGACAGACUUUUAACCUCUCUAGGAGAGUGGCUGCUUCAAGUCAUCCUAUGGGACCAGCUGUUCAUGCUUCCUCUUGCCCAGAACUACUUCUGUGAGAGGAAAAGAGAAGGGUAGGAGCGUGCCCUGCAGCUGGAAACCCAAGCCAGGCGGGGAGCCACGAAUGCAGUAGUUAUCAGACUGUAUCUUCAAUCCUGGGGGCUUCUCAAGCCAUUGCCAGCCACUCUUCACCCAAGGCCUGGUGGAAUAAAGCUGGGCUAAGUAACACCUCUUCUGUGGAAAAUUAUUGUUUCUGCAAGCCUAUAUUCAUUCUCCCUCUCUCUCAUGCUGAUCAGAACUGUGAGUUACAAAAAAAAUGAGAAGAUGGAAUCAAUUAUUACGUAGUAAAUUUCAUUUGCUUGGCAGGAGGUAUCUUUCCCAUCUUGGCCCACAGAGGAGGAAAUCCUAGAAGGGAUGACUGAAGCUUGGGACUAACACAUUGGUGGAUCUGUGCUACCCCCUGCUGGCCGUAGACGGUAUGACAGCCAAGAUAGGGCAAGGCUUCGAGGGGCGAUGGAUGGAUUCACCGCAGCGGCGACAUUUCUGGACUGUUGUCACCUUCAGUGCAGUCACUGGGAAUAUUCAGAACCCAGGUGAUUGAUAAGGUUUUCCCAGGGAUCUCUUCUCUCCCCUUCACCAUUACUCAGUAGGAGCUUCCUUAAAAACGGAAAACGAGAGGCCGGGCGCGGUGGCUCACGCCUGUAAUCCCAGCACUUUGGGAGGCGGAGGCGGGCGGAUCACGAGGUCAGGAGAUCGAGACCAUCCUGGCUAACACAACCCCGUCUCUACUUAAAAUACAAAAAAUUAGCCGGGCGUGGUGGCACGCGCCUGUAGUUCCAGCUACUCAGGAGGCUGAGGCAGGAGAAUCGCUUGAACCCGGGAGGCAGAGGAGGUUGCAGUGAGCUGAGAUGGCGCCACUGCACUCCAGCCUGGCCGACUGAGACUCCAUCUCAAAAAAAAAAAAAAAAAAAGGAAAAAGGGGCCGGGCGCGGUGGCUCACGUCUAUAAUCCUAGCACUUUGGGAGACCAAGGCGGGCAGAUCACGAGGUCAGGAAUUUGAGACUAGUGUGGCCAACAUGGUGAAACCCCAUCUCUACUAAAAAUACAAAAAAUUAGCCGGGUGUGGUGGCGCAUGCCUGUAAUCCUAGCUACUCGGGAGGCCGAGGCAGGAGAAUCGCUUGAACCCAGGAGGCCGAGGUUGCAGUGAGCCGAGAUUGUGCCACUGCACUCCAGCCUGGGUGACACAGUGAGACUCCAUCUAAAAAAACAAAAACAAAAACAAAACAAAACAGGCCAGGCACCGUGGCUCACACCUGUAAUCCCAGCACUUUGGGAGGCCAAGGCGGGAGGAUCACGAGGUCAGGAGAUCGAGACCAUUCUGGCUAACAUGGUGAAACCCUGUCUAUACUAAAAAUACAAAAACAAAAUUAGCCGGGCGUGGUGGCGGGUACCUGUAGUCCCAGCUACUCGGGAGGCUGAGGCGGGAGAAUGGCGUGAACCCAGGAGGCGGAGCUUGCAGUGAGCCGAGAUUGUG
rnacentral:lncRNA from 1 species